UGAAAAGAAUAAAAAAAUCUC
rnacentral:piRNA from 1 species